GCCUUCCUGGUGUAAUGGUCAGCACACUCGGCGCGUAAUCGAGAGGUCGGAGGUCCGAGUCCCGCCGAGGGCA
rnacentral:tRNA from 1 species